UAGAAAUAAAAAGGAUCUAAAAAGAAACGGGAAUAGGAAUUUUUUGACAGCCAAUGAGCUACUGCUACUGUAUUUUUUUUUUUCUGAGGUAAAGAGAGAAAAUGAAACAAAAAUAUGAUGAGAAGACAUAAGGAUUGGGUCUCAUCUUAUGCCUGACCUGAAGGUUUAAGGUGACUGGUUCCAGAAGAGUGUCAUAAAAUAACAGUUUUACUUGUUCUGUCUGAUUUGCACUCAAGCCUUUUCAGGAAGGAAGUUAAACUGGUUAAUGAAGCAUUGGGAGGAAAAUAGCUUAUUAGAUUUCACCACUGAAACAAAAUUUAAAAUACUGCAGUUUUCUUUGGAUUUGAAAACUAAUAUAUAAAGAAACAGAGAAGUUUUCCAUCUCCAGAAUGUGUGUCUCCAUUCACCUAGACAGAGUUGUAACCUGAAUGAUUCUCACUCGUGAUAAUUGAAAAAGUCCAUGUUGACCAUUUCUUUCUUGCUGAUGGGAAAAAAGGCUGGGACAAUGUGGGCAAAACUUAAAGGAAGAAUCAAUUAUGUACAACAACUUCUUAAUGGAAAAGGUAGCUGCGUGAGGAACCUUCACAGAAGAAGACAGAAGGUGAGCUUCUUAGAACCAUAAAAUAUUUUGGGUUGGAGGACACCUAAAAAUGUCAUCUAAUCCAACCGCUCUGCAAUGAGCAGGGACAUCUUCAACUAGGUCAGGUAGCUCAGAGCCCCCUCCAGUCUGACCUUGAAUGUUUCCAGGAUGUGACAUCUGUCACCUCACUAGGAAACCUGGUCCAGUAUUUUAGCUCCCUCAUUGUAAAAAAGUUUGUAAGUCUAGAAAUGCAAUUUCACAGCCAACAUUGUGGAUCCUGUGCCAGGUGUCUGGAUUUGCAGAGAUUUUGCUAAGAUUUUAAUAAUCAUGGCCAUGUGUAAAUAUGGAAGGAGAAUCAUGGAGCAGAAUAGCUCAAUGUGGGCCCUCACUGAAAUGAAACUCGACUAUGUUUCUCUCUGGUAGUGUUUGGUAUUGCCACAGAACGAGAAAUGAGGAAAUAUGCUUGUAGUACCAGCAGUGGAAGGGCAGUCAGAAUAUCUGAAGUAUCGAAUCUCUGCUGAUUACGCCCAUUAUAGGAAAUAAACUAAACUGCAGAGGGGAGAGGAUGAAAGAAGAGAACGGGAUGCUUCUGUAUUUUUUUGCAUGUUGCUACCCUCUGCAGAUCUCAAAAAGUAAUGAUGCAAUGAUUAGGUAAGGUGUCCAAAGUAUUUGCUAAAUGCAACAGUAUUUUAAAGUCCAAGUAUUUCUUAAAAUAACAAAAGAGAGAUUUAAAAUUAGUAAUAUAAAAUCAGUGCUAAUGCAGAGUUUUGAGAUGAAUAUUUAUCAGUAUAACAGACAAGAAACAGAUAAGAACAUAUAGGAAGGAACACUUGCCAAUGGGGAAAGUUUGAGGAACAGCCAAAGAACAGUUAAUUUCCCCUGGGGCUGAAAGCAAGUACUGGAAGUAUUAGGGCCACAGAUCCCCAAGCGUAUACUGAAUUUCAGUAAGUGAACUAGUGACACUUAACAUCAUCUACAGUAGUCAACUGGGAAUCAGUGGAUAUAAAAAGAAGAGAGUAUUCAAGAGAAUUUCUGGCAUAAAGCAUUAUCAAUUAUUUUGGUUUAUCCAAUGGUUGGAUUACCCCAAUUGAAUGGGUAAGCUAAAGAAAAUUAGUAAAUUCCAGCAAAAAUUGCAGCAAGAUGCAAGCACACUUUUCCAUUGUGUAGGCUUUAAAAAGGUAAAGAUGACAACUGGGUGGGAAAUCUUUGCCUGUAAUAUAAUGUCUCUAAAGUAAUUAGAAAUAUAAAAUGGUAACUUUGGUAACCAAGAAGCUUUAUAUUUUAUGAAUUUUUUAAUAUAUAUUUUAAGUUAUGUAAUAUGGCACUGCUCUGUCACAGUUAUGAUGUAAAUAAAGUUCUUACUGACAGCUUUCA